UCCGCUCCUUCCCUUUCUUCUUCUUCGGCUCGAUCACAAGAUCGAAUCACUGUGCGUGAUGAAUCUAUCUCCCGCACAGCACUCUUCUUCUUCGACGCUCAGCUAGGGCACAAUCGAGGCUUUUCCUUUGUCUUCCUAGUGGACUCGGCUGGACUCGAGUCUACACGCAAGAUCUCCUGUCUUUCCUCUGCUCGACAUCACUUCCCUCGAUUCUAGAAUUCCAUAAGCCAUGAAUUGGAUUUACAUAUCACCACUGUUGCAGUAAACAAAACAUCAAUCUCAAAUUCAGCAGGUAUACCGAAUAGAAGCAAUAAGAAACAAAUCCAAAUCUGACAAAAGAAAUCGCCGGGAUGUGUCUCGAGUAGGGCAGCGAGAGGAGCACACCCCAAACCAACAAAUGUCCCCAAUUCAAGAAUAAACAUGUGCAAUAGAAAAAAAUGCAUCCAAGGCAAUUCCAAGUGAUGCAGAUUAGAGAGAUUACUCACAUUGUCAGGCAAGAAAUC